rnacentral:lncRNA from 1 species
GAUGAAGGAUUUAUGUUACCCCCACUUCAAAUAAAAAGUACUGAGGGAUGCAUUUCAUUACUGCCCUGUGAUACUGGAGAAGCUAGGGCUGCAGUGGCAAUAUUCCUCAUUUGUUUGCGUGACACAGAGGAUUUAUUUGCAGGAAGAGUCCAACUCCAAAGAGAAAAUGAAUACCCAAUACAUACGUCAUGAAGUGCGGGGAUGCGAAACUAGUGACCUGAGGAACUUCUGGGAAAAGACUAUUGAACAACAAACUCGGUACCUGCAAAUUGAAAAAGAACGCCAACAAAGAAGUGCUCUGACAAAGCUCAGAAAUGAAUGGAUGGAGAGGCUGGAAAACCGAAUAAAGAUGUUGAGAACUCAACCUGAAGAUCCAUCUAGCUGAAGAUCCCAUGCUCAUUACAUAUUUAGGGGAAAAAGAAAUUUGUUUUGUAGGAAAGCAUGAUGGGGUGAUGCAAAAGCUUAAUUUUUGCUUUUUGGCUUUAAUGAGCUAUAAUUAAUUAGCUGUCAUUGUUAGGAGUUUCAUAUGUGAAAUGUCUAUUACUGCUUUUAAGAUAAUGCAUUCAUUCCUUCAUUUGAUAAAUGAAGAUUGACAUACUCGGAAGCCUUCAAGACUAGUAAAUCAUGGUUCACUCAGCUGUAGAUGCCUGGAAAAAGUUUAGUUGCACAGUUAGUGCUCAGCAAAAGCAUUUCCUCUACAUUUUAUGUUUCUGUAAAUGCUGAUUGUAGUCUAAAUUACUUUCUUUCAAAAUUUUUUCAUGAAUAGUUAAGUGGGGUUUUUUUGUUGGUUUGGCUUUUUUUUAACACAGCAGAGCCCAACUCAGACUAAGGAAGAGGAGACAUGCAUAGACAAUGCCACCACAUCAUAGACCACUAGUGGAGCCAAACUUGGUAGCAGUUACAAAUUCUGGCUGCCAUAUUAAUAGUCUGUGAAACAUACUAAGGUUGUGAGGUUCUGUGAGACACUAUCAAGAGUUGAUUAAUUAGUAAACCCACAUUAGCUAACUUUAGAUACUAUAUCAGCAAAGACAAAAACUACUUUGAGUUUUGAGGCUGCUUCUGGUACCCAACUUGGCUUGUCUAGUGCUUCUCUGGUAUCUGUUUCAUGGCACAGCCUGAUGCAUUUUCACAGCUCAUCAUGAGUGAUGAGCACACUUUUUCCUCUAACACUUUGUCCUUCUAAGACCCAGUAUAUAUCCUUAAUAGCAAGCACCUUCAGAAACAUGGCAGGUUUCCUGUCCCACAUUCACCAUUAGUCAAAAAUGUUUCUAAUUGCCUUCCUAAAGGAGGAAAUGUGGCGUUUCCUCCAACAGUAUUAAGGCAUUUCAAUAGGCUGGUGUAACUGAAGUGCUUUCUUUUUAGGGUGACUGUUUUGUUGCCACCAGAAUGCUUGUACUCCAAAAUGAGUUCUUUUGGGCAUGCUAAAAAUCUCUUCCCACAAUUGCUUAACUAUUUAGUCCCUUUUUAUAAGACCACUUCACUACUUCUUUGUUGGUUCAUAUUGUUUCAGAGUAAAGAAGAUUUGAAUUGCAAGUGAGGUGAGAAAAGAACAGCAGAAGGGGUUUGGGUUUUAAAAUACUGAAAACACCUGUUCUUUUAAAGCAAAACAAAAGAUUUGAAAUGUUAUUUUUUGUCUCUUUUUUCAUCACCUUUUAAAUUCACUUCCGGGUGUCACAAGGUCAAGCCAAACCUAUUAUGGGAAUUUAAACAUGUAAAUAAUGUUUGGGAAGCUUGAGAAAUCCAUGAAAGCAUGGAUGAAAGAUGACUCUGGAACAUGUACUCAGAAAUCAUGACAUCAGCAGGUAUGUCACCAUACUUGAGACCAGAGUUUCCCUGCCACCAGGGAAAAAAAAAAAGAUGCAAAAUUCACGGUCAUCAAUUGAGUCUUAUUCUUGAGCAAUUUUUAGAAUCAUAUCAACUGGGAAUAUGUAGGAUAACAGCAUAAUUACAAUGUAACUGUGGUUUAAUAAACACCCACCAGGUAGCCA